ACUCAAAGGAAUUGACGGGGACCCGCACAAGCGGUGGAGCAUGUUGCUCAAUUCGACGCAACGCGAAGAACCUUACCGGGGCUUGACGUGCAUCGGACCGCCAUAGAGAUAUGGCUUCCCUUCGGGGCCGGUGCAUUAGGUGCUGCACGGCUGUCGUCAGCUCGUGCCGUGAGGUGUUGGGUUAAGUCCUCUAACGAGCGCAACCCCUAUCCACAGUUGCCAUCAGGUAAAGCUGGGCACUCUGCGGAGACUGCCGGUGAUAAACCGGAGGAAGGUGGGGAUGACGUCAAGUCAUCGUGGCCCUUACGUCCCGGGCUGCAAACGUGCUACAAUGGCUGGUACAAACGGCAGCAAUACCGCGAGGUGGAGCAAAUCCUAAAAAACCAGUCUCAGUUCGGAUUGCAGUCUGCAACUCGACUGCAUGAAGUCGGAAUCGCUAGUAAUCGCGGAUCAGCAUGCCGCGGUGAAUACGUUCCCGGGUCUUGUACACACCGCCCGU
rnacentral:rRNA from 1 species